CCUACGGGGGGCAGCAGUCGAGAAUCAUUCACAAUGGGGGAAACCCUGAUGGUGCGACGCCGCGUGGGGGAAUGAAGGUCUUCGGAUUGUAAACCCCUGUCAUGUGGGAGCAAAUUAAAAAGAUAGUACCACAAGAGGAAGAGACGGCUAACUCUGUGCCAGCAGCCGCGGUAAUACAGAGGUCGCAAGCGUUGUUCGGAAUCACUGGGCGUAAAGCGUGCGUAGGCGGGUUGGUAAGUCGUGUGUGAAAGGCGCGGGCUCAACCCGCGGACGGCACAUGAUACUGCGAGACUAGAGUAAGGGAGGGGGAGGCGGAAUGCUUGGUGUAGCAGUGAAAUGCGUAGAUAUCGAGAGGAACACUCAUGGCGAAGGCGGGUUCCUGGACAUUAACUGACGCUGAGGCACGAAGGCCAGGGGAGCGAAAGGGAUUAGAUACCCGUGUAGUC
rnacentral:rRNA from 1 species